CUUACCUGGGUUUGACAUGCACUGGACCGGCGUAGAGAUACGCCUUCCCUUGUGGCUGGUGCACAGGUGGUGCAUGGCUGUCGUCAGCUCGUGUCGUGAGAUGUUGGGUUAAGUCCCGCAACGAGCGCAACCCUUGUCCCAUGUUGCCAGCGGGUAAUGCCGGGGACUCGUGGGAGACUGCCGGGGUCAACUCGGAGGAAGGUGGGGACGACGUCAAGUCAUCAUGCCCCUUAUGCCCAGGGCUUCACACAUGCUACAAUGGCCAGUACAGAGGGUUGCGAGACCGUGAGGUGGAGCGAAUCCCUUAAAGCUGGUCUCAGUUCGGAUCGUAGUCUGCAACUCGACUACGUGAAGUCGGAGUCGCU
rnacentral:rRNA from 1 species